rnacentral:rRNA from 1 species
GCCCUAUACCCGUUAAGGCAUGACGGCCUGUACCCGAAACCGACACAGGUGGGGUGGUAGAGAAUACCGAGGGGCGCGAGAUAACUCUCUCUAAGGAACUCGGCAAAAUGGCCCCGUAACUUCGGGAGAAGGGGCGCCACCGCAAGGUGGUCGCAGUGAAGAGGCCCAGGCGACUGUUUACCAAAAACACAGGUCUCCGCUAAGUCGCAAGACGAUGUAUGGGGGCUGACGCCUGCCCAGUGCCGGAAGGUUAAGGAAGCUGGUCAGCGCAAGCGAAGCUAGCGACUGAAGCCCCGGUGAACGGCGGCCGUAACGAUAACGUCCUAAGGUAGCGAAAUUCCUUGUCGGGUAAGUUCCGACCUGCACGAAUGGCGUAACGAUGGCCACGCUGUCUCCACCAGAGACUCAGUGAAAUUGAAAUCUCGGUCAAGAUGCCGAGUACCCGCGGCUAGACGGAAAGACCCCGUGAACCUUUACUACAGCUUCACACUGGACUUUGAACCUACUUGUGUAGGAUAGGUGGGAGGUUAUGAAGCCAGGACGCCAGUUCUGGUGGAACCAUCCUUGAAAUACCACCCUGGUAUGUUUGAAGUUCUAACCUCGGUCCGUGAUCCGGAUCAGGGACAGUGUGUGGUGGGUAGUUUGACUGGGGCGGUCUCCUCCCAAAGAGUAACGGAGGAGCGCGAAGGUACCCUCAGCACGGUCGGAAAUCGUGCGCUGAGUGCAAAAGCAGAAGGGUGCUUGACUGCGAGACAGACAAGUCGAGCAGGUGCGAAAGCAGGCUUUAGUGAUCCGGUGGUUCUGUAUGGAAGGGCCAUCGCUCAACGGAUAAAAGGUACUCCGGGGAUAACAGGCUGAUACCGCCCAAGAGUUCAUAUCGACGGCGGUGUUUGGCACCACGAUGUCGGCUCAUCACAUCCUGGGGCUGAAGUCGGUCCCAAGGGUAUGGCUGUUCGCCAUUUAAAGUGGUACGCGAGGGGUUUAGAACGUCGUGAGACAGUUCGGUCCCUAUCUGCCGUGGGCGUUGGAGACUUGAGGGAAGCUGCUCCUAGUACGAGAGGACCGGAGUGGACGUACCCCUGGUGUUCCGGUUGUCACGCCAGUGGCAUUGCCGGGUAGCUACGUACGGACGGGAUAACCGCUGAAAGCAUCUAAGCGGGAAGCCCCUCCCAAGAUGAGGUCUCCCUGGACCCUUGAGGUCCCUGAAGGUCCGUCGAAGACCACGACGUUGAUAGGCGGGGUGUGGAAGCGCGGCAACGUGUGAAGCUAACCCGUACUAAUUGACCGUGCGGC